CGGCAAAGGAGUACCUGGGUGAGAAGCUCCCAGGCCCAUCUGAUGGCCUCCUCCUUGAAAUAGUCCCCGAAAGACCAGUUCCCAAGCAUCUCGAAGAAGGUAUGGUGGUAGGUGUCAUUCCCCACGUCGUCGAGGUCGUUGUGCUUCCCGCCGGCGCGGAUGCACUUUUGGGUGUUACAGGCACGGUGCAGGCGGCCGAGCGGCGAGUCCGGCGCCGCUGUGCCGAGGAAGACCGGCUUGAACUGGUUCAUUCCAGCGUUGGCGAACAGCAGCGUGGGGUCGUCGACGGGGACCACGGGACUCGACGGCCACCUCGUAUGUGCCUUGGACUCGAAGAAGGUUAAGAACUCCUGGCGGAUCCGCCGGGACGGCCACGCCGGCGACGGAUCCAUCUGAGGCGGGGCGGCGGCUGGGGAAGAUGAGAACGAUGACGAGAAGG
rnacentral:lncRNA from 1 species